rnacentral:tRNA from 1 species
GGAGCCGUGCCUGAAUGCCCAAGGACCACUUGAUAGAGGACUACGAAUGGGAGCUAAUCCUCCAGCUCCU